rnacentral:rRNA from 1 species
CCUACGGGGGGCAGCAGUCGAGAAUCAUUCACAAUGGGGGAAACCCUGAUGGUGCGACGCCGCGUGGGGGAAUGAAGGUCUUCGGAUUGUAAACCCCUGUCAUGUGGGAGCAAAUUAAAAAGAUAGUACCACAAGAGGAAGAGACGGCUAACUCUGUGCCAGCAGCCGCGGUAAUACAGAGGUCUCAAGCGUUGUUCGGAAUCACUGGGCGUAAAGCGUGCGUAGGCUGUUUCGUAAGUCGUGUGUGAAAGGCGCGGGCUCAACCCGCGGACGGCACAUGAUACUGCGAGACUAGAGUAGUGGAGAGGGAACCGGAAUUCUCGGUGUAGCAGUGAAAUGCGUAGAUAUCGAGAGGAACACUCGUGGCGAAGGCGGGUUCCUGGACAUUAACUGACGCUGAGGCACGAAGGCCAGGGGAGCGAAAGGGAUUAGAUACCCGGGUAGUC